CGCAAGUCCCAAGCGAAGUGAUGACGCCUCAGAGCCAGCCGCAUUCGCCAAAUGUCUGCAGAAGGUAGCUCCGAAAGAAUCUGCUGCAGGAGGAUGCCGUAAAUGUUUGUAAGUACCACGAAGUGAGCCGAGCGACGUCCCGUCUCGAGAAGGAAGCGCAUGAAAUGGUGCCGUAGGACGCUGGAGGAGGGUGUAUGUACGUAUAGUGGUGUUUUGAUAGUGUUUAUGAUUUGUGAGAAAUAAAGGUUUUAAA